AUUCGUUCUUUCUUUCGUUCGUAUGACUUCAUGCAAUAACGUAAUUUAUCCCACACAGUAGGUGUCGGAAAUGCGCAUUGAAGCUGGUGCCAGCCACCUCGCCGUAUAACAAAACGAUGACGAAAAUGACGUAACUUCCUUGGAUAGCAUUUCCCGUUCAUCAACUGAACGGUUCUGUGAGUGAACGCGUCAGUGAGUGAUUUGCAUUUUCCGUUCAUUGCGAGAACGGAUCAGUGAGGGAACGAGUGCUGACUUUCCCGUUCGCGAACGAGUCAAUGAAUGAACUGCCUUCCCGUGCAUCAACGGAUCAGUCGGUGAACGUGUUGCGUCUCCUGGCGUGAACAAUUCAAUCGUGGCAGAGUUGUUACGGUGCAACAUUGACCACGGUGAAGAGUUGUUGUGCCAUAGGAUGUGCCUAUCGCUUCCAAAAAGGCCCUGCGGACCAGACCAGAAAAGAUAGCUGAGUUUCUGAAGGUCACCGUGGAGCCCCUUCUGGCAAUCUCUGGGCUGAGGAGCCUCAAUUCUCGUUCAGAAUGCGACGCCGAGACUGGACGGUGCCAAUGACCAAUGUUCCCUCUAAACUGCGCGCGUGCGCAAUCGCGCACUGCCCGCACAUUCUCAGCGCACAAGAAAAUCUAUCCAGCGCAUAAAGAUCAACAUAACGUAUUAAUUAAUAUUAGAUUAUUAUAUAUUAUGAUAAUAUAUUAUAUCAAUUAUAAUAUUAUAUUAGUAUUAGACCUAAUCUAAUUAAUUCGCCCAAUAAUAUUGUUUUUUUUUGUUUCUCACUCAGUGAGUGACAGGUGUCCAGCCAAUGAUACGAUACGGUUCACUUACGGUACAAAGCCAAUCAUGGCAUUGACGGUGCUUGCGUCUGGGCCCUGCCUAUAUGCGCCGUGCAGGUUAGCUAGCAGGUUAAUUGAUGCUAAUACAAACCCCGCAUCAUGGCGAAACGAACAGGCAGCGAGCGAUACAUCCACUCACCAAGCCACAGUAAAACAGAAAUGCAGUUCUUUUCAGAUGGAAUGGCUGUCGGAGUAUGUGCAAAUUGAAGAAAAAGCGGUGAAAUUGGGUGAGAUUUUAUCUUUUUCAAGUGAGAAAGGUCUACUUAGAUGUGAGGAGCUAAAGGAGAUCUCACAGGUUGUGGAUUUGUGCUACAUUUCAAGCUUCCAGUGCCGACUGUAAAAGAGGAUUUCGUUUAAUGAAUCAUAUCAAAACAAAAUUCAGAAAUCGUCUUGAAGUGACACAUUUGGACCAGCAUGUGGAUAAAGUCAAAGCAAGAAGCAGACGAAGCCAUCAACCUGGACAAAGUGUACAACCAUUGGAGAAGUGAGAAGGACAGACUUGAAAAAUAAGAACAGGACCCUCAGCCAGGCCAAAGCAGGACUCUUACCAUGGCCAAAGCAGGACUCUUACCAUGGCCAAAGCAGGACUCUUCCCCUGGCCAAAGCAGGACUCUCACAUACUGUAUAACAUCUCCACAUCCCAUUUUUCAGAUUUUUGUCUUUUUUUAGGUGAACCAAAUUACUUAAUUAAAAAUAAAGCGUGCAUA